rnacentral:rRNA from 1 species
UACGUAGGGCGCGAGCGUUGUCCGGAAUUAUUGGGCGUAAAGAGCUCGUAGGUGGCUUGUUGCGUCUGCCGUGAAAGCCCGUGGCUUAAUUACGGGUCUGCGGUGGAUACGGGCAGGCUAGAGGCUGGUAGGGGCAAGCGGAAUUCCUGGUGUAGCGGUGAAAUGCGCAGAUAUCAGGAGGAACACCGGUGGCGAAGGCGGCUUGCUGGGCCAGUUCUGACGCUGAGGAGCGAAAGCGUGGGGAGCGAACAGG